rnacentral:rRNA from 1 species
UACGUAGGGUGCAAGCGUUGUCCGGAAUUAUUGGGCGUAAAGAGCUUGUAGGCGGUUUGUCGCGUCUGCUGUGAAAUUUCGGGGCUCAACCCCGAACUCGCAGUGGGUACGGGCAGACUAGAGUGUGGUAGGGGAGACUGGAAUUCCUGGUGUAGCGGUGAAAUGCGCAGAUAUCAGGAGGAACACCGAUGGCGAAGGCAGGUCUCUGGGCCAUAACUGACGCUGAGAAGCGAAAGCAUGGGGAGCGAACAGG